AAUGAACGCUGGCGGUACACAUAAACAUAUGCAAGUCGUACGAGAAAUACAAUUCUAGUGGCGCACGGGUGAGUAAUGCAUAAGAAUUAACCUUUAAGUUGAGGAUAACAUAAGAAAUUAUGACUAAAACUCUAUAUCGCAUAAUUUACUUGUGCAAAAAAAGAAAUUUGCUUAAAGAAUUGCUUAUGUCUGAUUAGCUAGUUGGAAGGGUAAUAGCCUAACAAGGCGAUGAUCAGUAGUUGGUCUUGGAGGAUGAUCAGCCACAUUGGAACUGAGACACGGUCCAAACUCUUACGGGGGGCAGCAGUGCGGAAUAUUUUGCAAUGGGCGAAAGCCUGACAGAGUGAUACCGCGUGAAGGAUGAAGUCGUAAUUGGUGUAAACUUCUUUUUUCAAGGAUGAAGAUCUGACACUACUUGAAGAAUAAGCAUCGGCCAAUUCUGUGCCAGCAGCCGCGGUAAGGCACGACUGU
rnacentral:rRNA from 1 species